AUGCGUAUCUUUGUCAAGACACCCACUGGCAGGACAAUCUGCCUCAAGGUCCACUCAUCAGACACCCUGUACACCGUCAAGGCAAAGAUCCAGCAGCAGUACCGCCUCGUCUUUGAUGGGGUGCAGCUAGAAGAUAACCGUACAUUGGCCGAUUAUGGCAUCCAGCAUGACUCUACGAUUGACCUCCAGGAAAAGAUGCAAAUUUACGUGACAGAGACGCGGGAAGGCAGGACCAUUGCCCUCGAGGUCGACAGCCUAGACACCAUCGGUAACGUGAAGUCCAAGAUCGAGGACAUGGAGGGCUUUCCCAAGGGCCAGCAGUGCCUCAUCUUCGCCAACAAAUAG
rnacentral:rRNA from 1 species